rnacentral:rRNA from 1 species
UACAGAGGGUGCGAGCGUUGUCCGGAAUCACUGGGCGUAAAGGGCGCGUAGGUGGCGGCCCAAGUCCAUGGUGAAAGCUCGAUGCUCAACAUCGAGUCGGCCACGGAUACUGGGUUGCUCGAGCACUGUAGGGGCAGAUGGAAUUCCGGGUGUAGCGGUGGAAUGCGUAGAGAGUCCGGAAGAACACCGGUGGCGAAGGCGGUCUGCUGG